AUUGUCUUUUUUAAGUUUUGUUUGGGUGGAAAACAAGCCAAGCCGCAUGAUUAUCUCCCAAUUUAAAGUUUUUAAGUAAAUUUAUAGCUUUUUGUAGUUUUUUUGAGUCCUGGGUUGAUAAAUUAUUUUACAAACGUGCCAACAUCGAAUCAUCGUGCAACUACAUAGAGCAGGAGACAGGGACUAUGGUAGAUAUCAUUGGACGCCAGAUCGUUACGAGAUUAAGAGCAAGUAGCAAGAAGCAUGGACCGAACAACGUCUGGUCAAUAGGAAAAAAGUGAAAAUUAAGUUAAGCAAAAUUACAGAAUAUAUAGCAACAAAAUAUUUAAGGCUAAUAAUCAACUUUUCUGUUCUCUUUGUUUACUAUAAAUAUAACUCCGUCAUAGCAGGUGUUAUUUAUUUAUUUUAUUUAUAUAUUCUUUUUUAUACAACAAUGGCAUUGUGAUAAAUAUAUAGGUAUAUAUGAUUUAAUAAAUACAGCUGAUUAUUGUAGAAUGAAAUUAUGUAUAAUAGUAUAUUUUGUAAUUUACAUUUAGAAAAGCAUAUAAUUUAUAGUUUAAAAUAUGAAUUAAGUUUAUCGAGAGUAUAGGCUUAAAAGGCUUGGCUUAUUUCAUUUGAAGAUGAUAAAAAACGAUUUGUUCUAUCCUCCACAUUUAAUGUUCGAUCUUACGACAUUAUUUGUUCACCCGAAACGUGGUUAAAAUUGUGAGGACGAGGCGUGAGAGUUAUGUUUUACAGUAAAGGUACUAUUAAGUUCAGAGAGCUGGAUUUGUCAUCUUAUGAUAUAUCUGUUUUAGAACAUUCUUGGAUUUCCGUUAAAAUUGCAAGUAAAAAAAAUUUGUCUGGGAACUUGUUAUAGUGGGAAUAUUAAGAGUUGAUUGGAAGUACUUGAAGAGCCUAUACUUUUACUCAGGUUUCAAUUUGAUUUAAUUCUUUAAAUCAAAUUGAGAGGGAGAUUUCAACAUCGACCUGUCACUUCUGAAUAAUGUCUCUACUGCACUUCUCUCAUUUCUUGAAAAGUAUGGUCUCUCAAAAGUAGUUAAAGACUCGACACGCAUCAGAGGGCUUUAUUUAAUUGACUUACUGAUAACAUCAGCUUCGCCGUAUGUUAUAAAUCGUAUAGGCCGAUAUAUCUGAUCACCAAUUUAUAUCUUGUAAUAUUGAAGAUACAAAAGAUAAACCUAUUCCUAUGCUUAACACAUAUAGAGAUUUUUGGAGCUUUGAUGCUAAAAGGUUUCUUAUUAGGUUAAGCCAAAUAGUAUGGCCAGAUUUUUCAAUUAAUGAUGUUAAUAACGCCAUAUCUCUUGUAACAUUAAUUAUGUAAUAUGUAAAUAUUAAUGUUAUUUUAAUAAAUAUUAUGUAAUAUUAA